AUAAAGCUCACAUUUGCUGCUUGAAUUCUUCUCUCAAGUCUUUUAAAUCAUGAGCAAGGCAGAAAUGAAAAUUGUGGAAGGUUCUACAAGCUGGAAAUAAUUUAUAUUCAGACAGGAAUGAAAAGAAAUACACACAUUUUAUGUCACGUUGCAUUUGCUCUAACCACACAUACUUUAUUAUGGUGGCAAUACUACACUCACCCUCGUUGUGCAUCGUUUUAAAGGACAAUUCCCUAAAUCAAGUUUAUCUGAAACGUAGCAACGCAGAUGACCAUUUUAUAUUUUAUUAACACAAAAAACUGCAUAUUCCCAUGUGAUUUUUUUUUUUUUAUUAAUGAUCACAAAGAGGGUGAUCUUAUUAAAAACAUGAAAUGCAGGUACAAUUUUCUAAACCACAUAAAACAACAAAAUAAAUAAAAACCAGAAACAAAUAAUUUAACCACAAAU